UUACGCGAAGAACCUUACCAGCUCUUGACAUUCGGGGUUUGGGCAGUGGAGACAUUGUCCUUCAGUUAGGCUGGCCCCAGAACAGGUGCUGCAUGGCUGUCGUCAGCUCGUGUCGUGAGAUGUUGGGUUAAGUCCCGCAACGAGCGCAACCCUCGCCCUUAGUUGCCAGCAUUUAGUUGGGCACUCUAAGGGGACUGCCGGUGAUAAGCCGAGAGGAAGGUGGGGAUGACGUCAAGUCCUCAUGGCCCUUACGGGCUGGGCUACACACGUGCUACAAUGGUGGUGACAGUGGGCAGCGAGACAGCGAUGUCGAGCGAAGCUCCAAAAGCCAGAUCAGUUCGGAUUGCAACG
rnacentral:rRNA from 1 species